CUGUUUCAAACCAAUAAUUGCAAUUGCUUCAGAAUCCUUGAGGGUUCACCUUCAAGCUCUUCAGACCUGGAUAUGAAAGGCUAAUUUUAUUUUAUCUUUGUUUAAGGCACUGAUUAAAUUUGAAGGCUGUGGAGUCGCUCUUGAAUUGAAAGGCAGCAAUUCUGCCGUUGCAGAUUUGCUGGCAAGGACUGGCACGGGCAGGGAGCGCUCAGGGAGAGUAAAUCAUCCUCUCACAGGGUAAAGGAGCGGAGGGUAUUACAGAGGUGCCGCGCUGCAUUGCUGUGGUUACACGUCUGCACCGCACGAGCCCCGUCUCCCACUUUCACUGAAAUGCUUUAAGACUGUAAAAAACACGGCCUCUGAAGCAAGAGGAAUGCUUCGCAGAAAUAGAAACUUCUCCCGUGCAAAGCCCCUCCGAGCAGAGGCGGUGAGCAGCGCCGGUGGGUCAGCAGCCUGAGGUCGGCAGGAGCUUGCAUAAAGCAAAACUCACAAACAAGCCGGAUGUGAGUCCUCUCAGAAGUGCAUUAGAAAGUUGGCAGAGCUGAAAUGGAACAACUUCCUUGGAAAAAAGUCAGAGAUUGCUAGAGUUUGAAGUUUUGAUGGUCACAUUCCAGUAGACUCAUGUCUCCACCCUGCUGCGUUUCUGCUUUUCCCAAUGACAGCAGUAGAGUUCUGCCCUUGUAUUUUCCCUGAAACUUCGGAACUGACUGAGUCCAUGUGACGUUCCUAAGCUGUUGUGUAACAUCCAAAUGGAGCAAUAUCUUCAAGUUGAGUACAAGACCUUGCAAGCUCAGUCAACAAUACCAAGAAGUUGACCUGGAUAAGAUAAUUUUUUCAGCUUUGGGUAGAUCCUGAAGACCUGGCAGUAUCUUCAUCCUUGGGGUUCAGGGGGCUGAGUGGGACAGGACAGAGAGUCUGUGGAGAGGACAGACUAUCUGUGGACAAAAAGCUUUGAACAAGCAAACAAUCAGAAAUCCCCCAAACUCUGAAAUUUUGGAAACCGGAUGACGUCUGACCAGUUGUUUGUUUCUCAGUCAUGCCUGUGUCAAAGUGAACGCAAGCUGUGGAAGUGAAAUUUAACAAAAAAUAUGGAUUGGCUGGCAAACUGCUAUGAAUAUUCAUACAGUACGUUGCUAUAUCGCAAUUAUUUCAGCUAGAAAAUAUAACGUCUGCAAUUAUUUUGGAAAUAUGUUUGGCAGAGAAACUUGGAAUAGAAACACAAUAAAGUUAAUAUUCCUUUUGAUA